rnacentral:rRNA from 1 species
GUUCUAAGGGCGGUGAAGUCAGACCGGAAGGACUGGUGGAGCGCUUAGAAGUGAGAAUGCCGGUAUGAGUAGCGAAAGAAGGGUGAGAAUCCCUUCCACCGAAUAUCUAAGGUUUCCUGAGGAAGGCUCGUCCGCUCAGGGUUAGUCGGGACCUAAGCCGAGGCCGAUAGGCGUAGGCGAUGGACAACAGGUAGAGAUUCCUGUACCAGUGCUAAUUGUUUAACCGAUGGGGUGACACAGAAGGAUAGGGAAUCGCACGAAUGGAAAUGUGCGUCCAAGCAGUGAGUGUGAGAAGUAGGCAAAUCCGCUUCUUGCGAAGCAUGAGCUGUGAUGGGGAAGGAAAUUAAGUACGGAAGUUCCUGAUUUCACGCUGUCAAGAAAAGCCUCUAGGAAGAGUAGUACUGCCCGUACCGCAAACCGACACAGGUAGAUGAGGAGAGAAUCCUAAGGUGAGCGAGAGAACUCUCGUUAAGGAACUCGGCAAAAUGACCCCGUAACUUCGGGAGAAGGGGUGCUCUAUUAGGGUGCAAGCCCGAGAGAGCCGCAGUGAAUAGGCCCAGGCGACUGUUUAGCAAAAACACAGGUCUCUGCAAAACCGUAAGGUGACGUAUAGGGGCUGACGCCUGCCCGGUGCUGGAAGGUU